rnacentral:sRNA from 1 species
AGGGAGGGAUCUGACUGUAGAAAGGGAGGGGCAGAAAGGAAGAGAUCAUAAGGCAAGAGAAGAAAAGGAAGAGGGUGGGGGAGGGGAGCAGAAAUGGAAACGAUGUGGCAUUAAAACUAGAAGUGGGGAUUGUCUGCAGGAGUGAGGGGGAGGCCAACAGGAAGAGGAGGUGAGGGGUGGGCAUUGGGAAACAGAUGACUAAGAACAAAGUAUGGUGGCCUGUGUAUAUAAAUACCCUAAUAAACCCAAUAUUUUGCACUCUAACCUUUAAAAGUCUGAAAAAAUAAUAUGUAAACAGACAUAAUAAAUACGAAUAUAAAGAAGUAAUAAUUCUAAAGGAAUUAGGCCUGUAGAAGUCCAGACAGUUUUGUGGGAGGGCACAUACCUACACUUAUCCUAGAGGAAUCUCCCUAUGCAGGGAGUCUGUCUCGGUAUUUCCCAUUCCUGUCCACCCAUGCAUGGUUCUUACAGAGACUCCAUACCAGAACAUACGGGAGGGAGGAGCAGGAAGUCCCUGAUUCGAAGGAUGCUCUGAGCCCAGCCUCCUUCUCCAUCCCUUCCUCCACCCGCUCCCUCAACUUCAGGACCUAUGACUGGAGACAGAGACCGUGCUCCAGACUUUGCAAUCAGAGAUGUUUUCACCCAAAGGUAAUGGACAUGCAGGACUUAGAAAGUCAAAGCUGGUCUCGGCUGGGGAGGUAAUCACACAGUCAAACUGGUUCAGCCAGACAGCCUGCCAAUUCUGGGUUUCUGCUCCGGGCUUCUAAAGGUGACCAAGCAAGUCCUCGGAUAAGAAUGCAAGUGAGCAAAAUAACAAAUUCUUCUGAUACGACCUUUUCUUUCUCUGAAACACGAUCUCACUGCCUAGCUCUUGCUAGCGUGAAACUCACUCUGUAGACCAGGCUAGCCUCUAACUCACGGAGAUCCGCCUGCUUCUUCCUCCCAAGCGAUGGGCUUUUGUUAGGAUAUAAUACCUUAGUCCUCAAAGUCUCCAGGAAGACAGACAGCAGAGGCCUGGACCUAGCUGUCCCUGGAGAAGCUGCAGGACAGGUGCAGCUAUAAUGGCCUGUGCAAGAAGGAAGCUUCCUGGAGCACACAUGCGGCCAGAAGCAUCAGAAGGGCCCACUGUGGUCCGGGCCAGCUCCUGUUACAAGUCAGAUGUUGGAGGGAUUUGAGAGAGUCACUUCAUUCCUUCUGACUCUCGUUGGUUCUAUCACACAAGCGGCUUCCAAACCUACCUUUAAGGUUCAGGCACAAAAGCUUCAGGAAGUCAAGCGUCUGUUUUCAAGAUGGGUAUAAAGGACCGUACUAGCUUGCAGAGAAAUGGCUGCACUUUCAUAGACACAGAAGAAGGCUCCUACCCAACAGGUACGGACAACUCCCCCUGCAUGCUGCUCAAAACAGCUAUGAAUGUGGUCCAACACAGAGCUAUACACUUAUUUAAAACAUGAGAGUGUGUGUGUGUGUGUACACACGCACGCAUACACACAUACACACAUGUGUUUCUGUGUGUGAAACUCCAGUUAGAAUUUUUCUUGUGUCACAGCACACAUGAGAAGGUCAGAGGUCAACCUGAGGAGUCAGAUCUCCUUCCACCAUGCAGUCUCAGGGAUGCUUGUCAGACUUGAUGGUGAAGUACCUUACCCACUAAGCCAUCUUACCAGUCCUGACAUCAUUUCCAUUGUGAACUUGGUAGAUGACACUCCACUUUCAGCUUUCCUUUUCCGUCACUGUCUAGUCAGGGGUCAGAUCUCCAAAACGAGCCCUACAAUCAGCCUUCCAGAGUUGGCCUGGAGUGCUCACCCUUCGCUCGCCUCGUUAGAAGAAUCCCAUGCACACGCUGAAGCCAGCUGAGAAUCCCUGCUAAGCUUUCGGGCAGCUGGGAGAAGCAAAGUUGGAUCCCUGCCUAAAUCCCUGGGAGAGCCCACGCUCUGUUGCCAGCACCUUGACUGGAACAUCAAUAUUGGACAUCUGGCCUCGGACCUAGGAAAGAACCAAUCUACACGAGCCAGUAUUGUCGCCAGCGUGUGAACAAAGAGAGCCGACUCCUGGGUAGAGCAGCACACUCCAAGGCAUAGGCAUGGGACAGAGCCAGGUAUGGACCACAUCCAUGUCACCUUCUAAAAAUGCCUUACUGGCUCCAACGAACCGACACAUGGCUCGUUAGCCUUCAGGAAGAAUCUAGAAAUGCUGCCCCAGUAACAUUCAGCAAGCAGAGGGAGCUCUCGGCCUGUCCAUCGACAGUGACACUGUCACCAUGGCGGCCCUCUACCCUCCAUCCUCUUCAGCAUUGAAGCUGUUACGGCUUUAAUGUAAGACAUCUCAGGUCCACGCGAUGGGACAGUCUCCACCUUGUGGCACUGCUUUGGGAGGUUGUGAACCGUGACAUGAUGGGGUCUGGCCGGAGGAUGUGGGUCACUAAAUAAACAGGCUUUGAGGUUUAACUAGUGGCUCCAAGUCAACUCCUCUGCCCUUGAUUUGCUGAGGUGUGAGCAAGCUCUUCCUGCCACAGAGCUGCCUGCCACCGCGACGCCUCCACCAUGUCUCCUAAAACAAGAUAAGCCUCUUCUAAACUGCUUCAAAGCCCUUGACAACUGCACCAGGCAAAAGAGCUAUGUAAGGAAAAGCCGUAGCUGGCCUUCCCUAAGGCAUCUCUCAUUUCACUGUAACCCCAGAACUGCUGCUAGCAUCCCGAAGUGUGCAUUAUGUGCCUACCCCGGUGGUGCUCCUGACAAGCUGCUACUAGAAACCAGACAUGGAGGAUUAUGGGUAAUGGAGGUUCUCAAUGAACACAUCACUCACCAUUCAAGUCUGAAAUACACCUCCACCUCCACACUUCACUAUAAUACCAACCCAAUUAAUAACGAUCGGUGGGAAUUAUGAAACAUCUGUUGAACAUACUGGUGUGGAGACCAGGAUUCUACUCAGGAAAGGAUGCAGUGACAGCUACCAGAAGGGCACAGUACCCUGUGAAAUAAUCACCGAAGACUUGAAAUGAUACUCAACUUGUGAUGCCUGAUCACGAGGGACAUGCAAAUCAAGCCACAAUGUGAUAUCAUUCCAGUCACUCAGACGGCCAUCAUCAGAGCACAGGGGGCGGGGUGGGGGGGAUGCGUGACAAGGCUGUGGAGAAAUCGGAGCCCUUGUUGGGCAACCUUGGAAACAGCAUGUGGUGUAUCAGGAAAUUCAGUAUAGAAGCCACUGCAAUCCGUCAAUCCCUCAUCUGGGUUAAGACCUGAAGGACGUGAAUGGAUACUUGUGCGCCUGAUUGAUAGAAGCAUUGUUCACAGAAGUCAACAGAUAGAAGGAUGGCUGGGAGAUGCCUCCCUCACACGCUGGGCCACGACUGCUCUUGCAGAGGACAUGGUUUUGGUUCCCAGCACCCACACUGGCCAGCUAACAAACCCCUGUAAGUCUAGCUCCAGGAAAUCCAGUGUUCUCUGCCGGCUUCUGAAGGCACCUACAUUUGUGUGCACAUACUCUCACAUAUAUAAUAAAA